rnacentral:rRNA from 1 species
AUGAACGCUGGCGGCGUGCCUAAUACAUGCAAGUCGAGCGCACAGACGAGGAGCUUGCUCCUCUGACGUUAGCGGCGGACGGGUGAGUAACACGUGGAUAACCUACCUAUAAGACUGGGAUAACUUCGGGAAACCGGAGCUAAUACCGGAUAAUAUAUUGAACCGCAUGGUUCAAUAGUGAAAGACGGUUUUGCUGUCACUUAUAGAUGGAUCCGCGCCGCAUUAGCUAGUUGAUAAGGUAACGGCUUACCAAGGCGACGAUGCGUAGCCGACCUGAGAGGGUGAUCGGCCACACUGGAACUGAGACACGGUCCAGACUCCUACGGGAGGCAGCAGUAGGGAAUCUUCCGCAAUGGGCGAAAGCCUGACGGAGCAACGCCGCGUGAGUGAUGAAGGUCUUCGGAUCGUAAAACUCUGUUAUUAGGGAAGAACAAAUGUGUAAGUAACUAUGCACGUCUUGACGGUACCUAAUCAGAAAGCCACGGCUAACUACGUG